UCAGGCUGUGAUGACACACUUGCCCUCACUGAGAUCAGGCUUGAUUGAGACAAUUAAUUUUCCUGAGCCGCA